rnacentral:rRNA from 1 species
UACAGAGGGGGCAAGCGUUGUUCGGAAUUACUGGGCGUAAAGCGCACGUAGGCGGCUACUCAAGUCAGAGGUGAAAGCCCAGGCUCAACCUUGGAACUGCCUUUGAAACUAGGUAGCUAGAAUUCUGGAGAGGUCAGUGGAAUUCCGAGUGUAGAGGUGAAAUUCGUAGAUAUUCGCAAGAACACCAGUGGCGAAGGCGGCUCACUGGCCCGUAACUGACGCUGAGGCACGAAAGCGUGGGGAGCAAACAGG